rnacentral:tRNA from 2 species
GCGACGGUAGUUUAGUGGCAGAAUUUGGGACUGUGGAUCCUAAGACGCGAGUUCGAUUCUCGCCUGUCGCC